AACGAAGAGGUAUCGUAAUUGAAGAGGUUUGGAAAGACCCACCACAGAAGGUAAUAGUCCUGUAUGUUAAACGAGAAGACUUUAGAUAUGAUCCAGAGUACUACGGGACACGUGAAACCCUGUGGGAAGCAGGAGGGACCACCCUCCAAGGCUAAAUACUACCUAGUGACCGAUAGCGUAUAGUACCGUGAGGGAAAGGUGAAA
rnacentral:rRNA from 1 species